AUAUGCUGCCUAUGACGCCUUCCCUGUAGGCUGUUCACUCUUGCAUGUGUGCUUUAAUGACACUGUUUACAGACCUGCUGUCUCGUCUGCUUACUUAGUUAACUUUUGCUUUUUCAGUCGUUUGCUUUCUAACUCGAGUCUAAUCGGCACUAUUCGGUUUCACAUCGGGUGAUUAAUCAGCACAGAUCUUUCUGUAGAGACGCUUAUUGAGAAGCAGUGGUGGAGCUCCGGAUCUCUCCUGAUGGAUUUACACGCUGUGUGCUGCUCUCUGCUUCUGCUGUCAUGUACAGGAGCAUGUUUUGGCCAAGAGCUGAUAUUACCUGAGAUAAUAAAUACAGCAGUUGGGGAGAAUGUGGUGAUUACUCCAAUCCGUCUUCCUGAUCCCCCACAUUAUGUGAUCAUAUGGAAGUUUAAUGAGACUGCCAUUCUUGCUGGACCUCCAAGUGGAAUUAUAAUACAGCCACCUUACACUGACAGAGUCAGUCUGGACCCCACCACUUAUACUCUGGAGCUCAGGAGCCUGACUGAGAACGAUACUGGACUAUAUUCUCUGACUGUAGAAACUCUGACAAAUCCUAUCACAGGUGAAACCUCACUGCAUGUGUUUGAAAUAAUAUCUGGAGCAGCACUUACUGGCCCAACAGAUGAUCUAAUAGAAGAUGAUUCCUCUGCUACAUUAUCCUGUAAGGCAAGUGGAACCAUCUACAGUGCUGAAUGGAUGAAAGAUAAUCAGAAACUGUCAGCUAGCGACAACAUCACAUUCUCGAAUGAUAACAGAUCAGUGAUGAUCAGUCCAGUGAGGAGAAGAGACAGUGGUGAAUAUAAGUGUACACUCAGCAACCCCAUCAGCUCUGACAUUGCAACAUACAGAAUGACUGUUAAUUUUGGACCAGAUAAUGUGAUAAUUGAUGGACCAUUUGCAGUGGAGGAAGGAAAUAAAUUGACACUGUCUUGCCGUACUGAAUCUACACCAAAUGCCUCGUACAAAUGGAUGUUUAAUGGGACUUUACUUGAAGUGAAUACAACCGUAUUUACUGUGGAAGAGGUCACCUUUAUGCACACUGGAAAUUACACCUGCAUGGCCUCCAAUCCUGUAACCGGACGUGAUGCCUCUGCAUCCCAUAUUUUGGUAGUUAAAGAAAAAGGCUCUAUGGGUGGAGGUGGGGAGUCACUGUCUGCAGGAGCCAUAGCUGGGAUUGUUAUUGGAGUUUUAUUGGGUGUUGCUGGAAUUGCUGGUUUGAUUUUCUACUUUGUUAAAGGCAGAAAAUAGGUAAUACAAGCUCCUGAAAGUGUGACCAGAAAUUAAAGCUCCAGAGGAAACAAGCAAAAUUGAGACAGCUACAUCUUAUCCUGCCACACAAAUCAUUUAUUAGUUAGUUAAUUUAGUGUGGACCACGCUGACCAAGCCUGCCAGUCACCUUCUAAAAAGUAAGCACACAAUUCAGCAAUUCUGCAAGAGACAUUUGUGGAUUUGAUCGACCUGCCAUUGUUGUGGAAGAAAAAAUCACGAGUCCAAGCUCUUGAAGUAACUGAAUGGUUUUGCUGCAGAUUCUGAUUGAAUAGAAGUGGGUAUUGUUGGCUAUUUCACUGGAACCCUCAGUGUUUAAGGAAUUUAGUCCUUAGAUUUUCUUGCUUUUAAUAUUAGAUACAAAUGUAUUAAAAUGUACAAUAUCACUUACGAAUACAAAUUACAACAAAGUACAAUGAGAUUCAGCAUGCAUUUACCCCAUCAAGCAACGAAGUAUAAAGAAAAUUUUAUAAAUAUAUACAGUACAAAUGUAAUAGUAGUAGUGCAAAUAUAUUAGAUGCAAUAAUAUAAAUAAUAUACAUUCUGUUCACAUUUUGUUGAGAAAUCAAAUUCUCCAAGCUGUAAUAAAUUAAAUGUAAUACAUGACUUGAAAUGGCAUGUGUGGCCCCCAGAUAACCUUUGAUUAGAAAUAUAUGUUCAAUAUAACAAAGGGCAUGUUUAAAAAGUGCCAUAAAACAUGCUUGCUGUUUAGCUGUCUUGUAAUCUAAUAGAUAUAGACCCUGACUAUGUUUUUUCACCUUUGGACCUGCUUAACUCUGUUACUCAGGGAACUAAAAUGAGGAAGUAAUAAAAGUUAGAAAUUUACUGGAUGUUCAAAUGAAAUAAGUGCAGUGGUUCCCAGCAUGUAACAAAAAAAAAAACCAAUAAUCUGAAUACUGUACUGUAACUUUCUUUACUAAUAAAAAAUGCUAAUAUUUUUGUUAACCUAUUUUUGUGUUUCAUCUAGGCCUAUGUAAUUUUAUCCAAUAUGGGUGUAUAUAAUUGUUUUAUUUAAAUUUUGACAAUGCUUGGUAGGAAAUCACAUAAAUCAGAUUGUAUGAAUGGCAAAGUUUAGGGUCGCAGCUUUCUUUCAACAUUUGUUUGAAAUCCACAGAAUCUCAUGAUAAUUUUUUUUUUAUUAUUAUUAAAUAAAUUCAUACUCCCAGAUCUCUAAUUAGGGUUUAAGAUUACACUUUGGUAUACUUUCAUCUAUGACCUCUAGAAUGACAAAUGUAUACAGUUUACAUUUUUUUAUGAUUUAUUUAGACAUUUCUGCUUGCUUGUCUUAAAAUAACAUAACAUUUUUGUCAUUCAUAAUCGUCUGUUUGCAGUCAUGCUGUCAUAUUAUGUUUAAUGUUCACCCUUUCUGUCACUGGGUGGCUCUCUUUGGCUCCGGUCUGAUUAUUAAAUUUUCAAGGAAAAAAAUUGUAUUUGUUGGUGUAUUAGAGUCAUAUGUCCGCCUUUUUCAGUCCUGCAGAGUGAAGAGCACAAUGUAUUAUUUUGAUCUUGCCCUAAAAUAUUUCUCUAUCUGUUGUGUAAAUCCUUGGAGAAACUUUGAUUGUAAGUUUUAGUGUUCAUCUUUGUAAUUUUAAAUGCUAUGUGCAUGUAUUUAUUUAAUUUUGCUAUUUUUAAGUUUCUUAAGCAGCAUAUACCCAGUCUCAGAGAUCAGUUCUGUCUUCUGUAAUAAUUUAAUCUAUUUUCGUUACACUUUCAUUUCAGUUUCACAAAAAAUAUAAGGAGAUUAAGAGUAAUGCACAAUCGCACUCAAGAAACUAAAGUCAAAGA